UACGUAGGGGGCGAGCGUUGUCCGGAAUUACUGGGCGUAAAGCGCGCGUAGGUGGCUUGAUAAGCCGGUUGUGAAAGCCCCGGGCUCAACCUGGGAACGGCAUCCGGAACUGUCAGGCUAGAGUGCAGGAGAGGAAGGUAGAAUUCCCGGUGUAGCGGUGAAAUGCGUAGAGAUCGGGAGGAAUACCAGUGGCGAAGGCGGCCUUCUGGACUGACACUGACACUGAGGUGCGAAAGCGUGGGGAGCAAACAGG
rnacentral:rRNA from 1 species